GGGAAUUGCAUGGGCGAAACUGACGGAGCCCGCCGCGUGGGUGAAGAAGGGCUUCGGGUUGUAAAACUCUGUUGUUCGGGAAGAACAUGUGUGUGUUUAACUGUGGGGUCUUGGCCGGUCCUAAUCAGGAAGCCACGGCUAACUACGUGCCAGCAGCCGCGGUAAUA
rnacentral:rRNA from 1 species